GACAGAGGGUGCAAGCGUUGUUCGGAAUUAUUGGGCGUAAAGGGCGCGUAGGCGGUCCUUCAAGUCAGAUGUGAAAGCCCAGGGCUCAACCUUGGAAUUGCCUUUGAUACUGGCUGUCUUGAGUAUGGGAGAGGUUAGCGGAACUCCGAGUGUAGAGGUGAAAUUCGUAGAUAUUCGGAAGAACACCAGUGGCGAAGGCGGCUAACUGGCCCAUUACUGACGCUGAGGCUCGAAAGCGUGGGGAGCAAACAGG
rnacentral:rRNA from 1 species